rnacentral:rRNA from 1 species
CUUGGUCAUUUAGAGGAAGUAAAAGUCGUAACAAGGUAACCGUAGGUGAACCUGCGGUUGGAUCAUUACUGAUACUUGGUCUAUGAGUUGAUACCGAAAGGAGUCCUCAUAGCCAAAUUCACCUCUUGUGCACUAUAUUGUCUUUUGGUAGUUUAUACCUUGGUAUAGGCUGCCAAACUUUAUAACAAACCAUAUAAACUUGUCUGAAAUUAUAAUAAAAUAUAAACAACUUUUGACAACGGAUCUCUUGGCUCUCGCAACGAUGAAGAACGCAGCGAAAUGCGAUACGUAAUGUGAAUUGCUUUCCGUGAAUCAUCGAAUCUUUGAACGCACAUUGCACUCCUCUGGAGUAUGCCUGUUUGAGAAUCUAUAGUAUUAAUUUCUUGUGAUUUCAUUCGUGAAUGACCAAGGAGAUAUGAAGUUCCCAUCUCUUGGUGGGUUCUUUUAAAUAGAUUGCUACUAGUAAUACGAAAAUGCUUGACAUUUCUCUAUAUCUAUUAGAAAAGUAUGUGUAUGAAACUGUGGUUUCUCAUAAUGCCUAUUAUCUUAGAGGAGAUUUGGAGUUUUCAUAUGAACAGUUAGUCCACACCUAUAAAGGCGCAAGCCUUGAACCAUGGUCUCAAAUCAGGUAGGAAGACCCGCUGAACUUAAGCAUAUCAAUAAGCGGAGGA